CAGGUGGUGCAUGUUGUCGUCAGCUCGUGUCGUGAGAUGUUGGGUUAAGUCCCGCAACGAGCGCAACCCCUAUUGUUAGUUGCCAUCAUUCAGUUGGGCACUCUAGCGAGACUGCCGGUAAUAAACCGGAGAAGUGGGGAUGACGUCAAAUCAUCAUGCCCCUUAUGACCUGGGCUACACACGUGCUACAAUGGUUGGUACAACGAGUUGCGAGUCGGUGACGGCGAGCUAAUCUCUUAAAGCCAAUCUCAGUUCGGAUUGUAGGCUGCAACUCGCCUACAUGAAGUCGGAAUCGCUAGUAAUCGCGGAUCAGCACGCCGCGGUGAAUACGUUCCCGGGCCUU
rnacentral:rRNA from 1 species